rnacentral:rRNA from 1 species
GACGAACGCUGGCGGCGUGCCUAACACAUGCAAGUCGAGCGGGAACCUCAGGAGGGGUAACCCUCCUGUGGGGAGAGCGGCGAACGGGUGAGUAACACGUGGGCAACCUGCCCCGGACACCGGGAUAACCCAGGGAAACCUGAGCUAAUACCGGAUACUCCGGCGAGAUCGCAUGGUCGCGCCGGGAAAGCUCCGACGGUCCGGGAUGGGCCCGCGGCCUAUCAGCUUGUUGGUGGGGUAACGGCCCACCAAGGCGACGACGGGUAGCUGGUCGGGGAGGACGGCCAGCCACACGGGGACUGAGACACGGCCCAGACUCCUACGGGUGGCAGCAGUAAGGAAUAUUGCUCAAUGGGCGAAAGCCUGAAGCAGCAACGCCGCGUGCAUGAUGAAGGCCUUCGGGUCGUAAAAUGCUUUUCGGGGAGAUGAGGAAGGACAGUAUCCCCGGAAUAAGGUACGGCUAACUACGUGCCAGCAGCCGCAGUAAGAC